CAGCCGCCGCGGGAAUACGAGGGGGGCAAGCGUUGUUCGGAAUUAUUGGGCGUAAAGGGUGCGUAGGCGGUUUCGUAAGUCUGAUGUGAAAUCUAUGGGCUCAACCCAUAGUCUGCAUCGGAAACUGCGAGGCUUGAGAGUGGGAGAGGUGAGUGGAAUUUCCGGUGUAGCGGUGAAAUGCGUAGAUAUCGGAAGGAACACCUGUGGCGAAAGCGGCUCACUGGACCAUUUCUGACGCUGAUGCACGAAAGCUAGGGGAGCAAACAGGAUUAGAUACCCCAGUAGUCCCUGUCUCUUAUAC
rnacentral:rRNA from 1 species